CCGGCCAGCUGGCAUCCUUCACAGCGGCAGAGGCUGCCCCUGGGGCCCGGCACACAGAGCCACAGAAAGAGCAGAUCCUCCCUGCCAUGCCCCUCUCUGGCUGGCGAUAAUAACAGGAAACUUUAAGAGGCAGAUACUAUGAACAUCUAUUACCCAAACAUCAAUACUACCGAAUUUUUUAGAGAGACACACAGAUGUCAUGCACCAAGAAAGGCCUUUUGUCAAUAUCUAAAUCAUCAGGUAAAUAGACUCUCAACCAGCUGUAACAUGUUUCAGUUAUGAAAUUAAUUUGUCUUCCUUGUAAGUAUAUUGUAUUUUGAACAGUUUGAUGCACAAAGAAACUUAUAAUGGGGGUUUGAAGAUCCAUGUUAAAAAAAUAA